rnacentral:misc_RNA from 1 species
AAGUCGUAACAAGGUUUCCGUAGGGUGAGUUCUUACUUCCUCUCUUUUUUACUGAUUACAUUUUUACUAACCCCUUUUCUAGUGAACCUGCGGAAGGAUCAUUAACGAGUUAGGGUCUUCUUGGCCCGACCUCCCAACCCUUUGUUUACUGAACCUCUGUUGCUUCGGCGGGCCCGUCUCACGACCGCCGGAGGACCGCCGACAGGUGUCCUCUGGCCCGUGUCCGCCGACAGCCAAGCUCUCAAAACUCUGUAUGAAUCGUGUCCUUUAUCUCUAAGUCUAUGAUUUAAACAAAUCAAAAAGCAAAACUUUCAACAACGGAUCUCUUGGUUCUG